rnacentral:rRNA from 1 species
GACGUAGGGCGCGAGCGUUGUCCGGAUUUAUUGGGCGUAAAGAGCUCGUAGGCGGCUUGUUGCGUCGACUGUGAAAACCUGCGGCUCAACCGUGUGGUCUGCAGUCGAUACGGGCAGGCUGGAGUUCGGUAGGGGAGACUGGAAUUCCUGGUGUAGCGGUGAAAUGCGCAGAUAUCAGGAGGAACACCGGUGGCGAAGGCGGGACUCUGGGCCGAUACUGACGCUGAGGAGCGAAAGCGUGGGGAGCGAACAGG